rnacentral:misc_RNA from 1 species
GAUGAAGAACGUAGUGAAAUGCGAUAAGUAAUGUGAAUUGCAGAAUUCAGUGAAUCAUCGAAUCUUUGAACGCACCUUGCACCCUUUGGCAUUCCGAAGGGUAUGCUCGUUUGAGUGUCAUUGUACUCUCACUCUCCCGAUACUUUUGGAUCGGGAGUGGUGGACUUGGGUGCUGCUGCUUAACUGUGGCUCGCCUUAAAUGAAGUAGUGCAACUCUCGGUUGGACAUAGUACGGCGUGAUAAGUGUCUUUGCCGGCGCCUCAUUCGAGGGUGGCCGAUCGGGAGCUCUGUGCUUCAAACUGUCUUCGGACAACAUCUGACAACUUGACCUCAAAUCGAGUAGGACUACCCGCUGAACUUAAGCAUAUCAAUAAGCGGAGGA